AUGCACAUUAGAAGCCUGCUUCUGCACUUUGCAACUUACACGGGUCUGAAAGUGAAUUAUGCCAAGUCAACCUUGAUUGCAAUCAACACUCCAGAGAACAAAAUGCAAGCUUUGUCAGAGUUAAUGGGCUGUCAAAUUGGCUCCUUCCCUCUCCCAUAUCUUGGUAUGCCCCUCAGCAUCCACAAGCCUAGAGUGGUUGAUUUCUUUCCACUGCUUAAGAGAGUUGAGACAAGAUUACAAGGAUGUUCUACUCUGCUCUCAUAUGGUGAUAAGCUGGUACUCAUUAAAUCUGCGUUUGCAAGUAUGCCUAUCUUCUUCAUGAGCAUCCUUGCCAUUCCAAUGACUGUGGUGCAAUAG
rnacentral:rRNA from 1 species